rnacentral:tRNA from 1 species
AGACAUCACUGAUUUGAUGCCUGAAUUUUUAUUUCAGGUCAUAAUCCUGUCACCUUAGGUCGAUCGGUACCUCAAUUUGAAUAUUUAAAAACUAAGAAAUUAGUUUUUAGAAUCUUGAAUUCAGUUCCUAAACUUUGUCUAGGUCACACCCAACAAGGGUACUCCUGGGCCAUUAGCUCAGGUGGUUAGAGCGCACCCCUGAUAAGGGUGAGGUCCCUGGUUCAAGUCCAGGAUGGCCCAUUCGGUGUUGGGGGUAUAGCUCAGUUGGUAGAGCGCCUGCUUUGCAAGCAGGAUGUCAGCGGUUCGAGUCCGCUUACCUCCACUGAUCAAACCCCUGAACUCGAAGCCAAAGGAGACUAUCUUUGAUGUGAUCUAGAAUUUGUUCCUUAUGAAUGAACCUAGCUUCUUGUCAUUCCUACAAAAUAUUUGUUUUGUAUGGCUGAUAUGAUGCUGGGCUCCCUGUAAUCAAAAUUACAGAGAUGUUCAGUAGAACCUUGACAACUGCAUAGGUGAGUCUGGAAAGAAUAAAGCAUCUCAUGAAUGCAUUAUUCUUUUGGGUCAAUACUUACAAUUCUGAGUUAAUCAGAAAAGUUAAGUUUGGCUUGAAAUUAUAAUGUUUAAAUUCUUGAGCAAGAGCUGAGACUCUAUAACGUUCUUUCAUUAUUAAUUUCAAUGAGAGUUAGAUCUUUGAUUUUGAAUUUAAUUUUACUUUUUUAGAUUUAAUCUAAAAUUGUUAAAUUUAAAAUCUACAAAAUCAAAGAAAAAAGUGUUAACAACACAUGACGUUUAGAGAUUAAUGGUCAAGCUACAA